GACAGAGGGGGCAAGCGUUGCUCGGAAUUACUGGGCGUAAAGGGCGCGUAGGCGGGAUGGCAAGUCGGUCGUGAAAUCCUUCGGCUCAACCGAAGAACGUCGAUCGAUACUGCUGUUCUUGAGGGUUGCAGAGGAGACUGGAAUUCCCGGUGUAGCGGUGAAAUGUGUAGAGAUCGGGAGGAACACCGGUGGCGAAGGCGGGUCUCUGGGCAAUUCCUGACGCUGAGGCGCGAAAGCUGGGGGAGCAAACGGG
rnacentral:rRNA from 1 species